ACUACUACUAGCUUCUUGAAGGGUUUUGAAGCCAGGCUCUUCUACUUCUACUCUUCUACAAUUUGUCCUUAUCGUACAGAGCACUAACAUAUAUUCAAAUAUCUGAGCUUGGCAAAACGGCGAAACCCAAUCACAACUCCAUGGAUGAAAGACAUGGAGUUUGAGAGGG
rnacentral:ribozyme from 1 species